GGGCUUGUAGCUCAGUGGUAGAGCGCUUCAUUUGCAUUGAAGAGGUCGAGGGUUCGAUUCCCUUCAAGUCCA